rnacentral:lncRNA from 1 species
GAAAUGACAACAGCUAGCGCAGAAACAAAAUAAAGAAAAAUGGCUCACCGGAGAACGGGAAGGGCUCGUCGGAAGAAACAACUUCGUGCGUGGCAGGGACCCCUCGACACAGCGACGAGUGCGGCGAGACCUCCAGCUAGGACAUCGGUCCUUUCUCCACGGUGACAAAUGAUGCGACGACGAGCUCUGCAUGGGACCUCUGCUCGACGGCGGGCGCGGCGCCGGGGCGACUGCGUGAUGCAAGGGGUGGUUGCUGCAAGGUUGAGGGACAGAGAGCAGGUGCCGACUGUUUGAAUGGGACUAUGGGAGCGGCUAUAACGGACCAUUGCUAAAUUCUUGCGUCGUGGCCAUAUAGUGCGGUAGAGGUUGUUCACACACGGAAGAGAUGGUGGUGGGCCUGCGGCGCAGCAGCCGAGUGCGGCGCUGGUGCUUCCCCCACGCGUGCUAGCAGGUAGAUAUGAAUAUACAUAUAUGUUUAUAUGAAUAUAUCUAUUUAUAUUAGAUCAUGUCCCGAUAAUUUAAUUUGAUAGUUUUUCCUUCUUUCGAGUGUGAACACCGCCAAGAUCAUUUUAGCAAACAGAAAGAAAAUGUACCUCGGCUUAAAAUAUAAUACACAUAUUUAUUUAAAAUAGCAUCUAUAAAUUCCAUGUUAACUCCCCAUUUAAUAACAAACAAAAGAGGAAAAGAAAGGAAAAGAAAAUGUAACACCUGAAUUUUGAGAGUAGAUAAAAGAAAAUUUUAUACCCUCAAAAUCAGGGUGUUACAAAUCUAACCCCCUUAACAGAAUCUCGCCCUCGAGAUUCAAGAAGAAGCUAGAAAGAAAAACAAGGUUGGUUCACUUCGAUUCAAUUUUAACACUACCAGCUUAACUUGCUGACAUGAUACUUUGACCUUCAGAUAUUCACGAUCAACUGAUGCAACUCUUGAGGAUCUCUUGGACCUAUGGGUUAGGACCCACACACGCUUUCGGUGCGCCACUUUAAUCGUGUUGGUUGAUGCUGUUCGCAUUGUCUUCAUUGGGGUUAGCGGCUAACCCCCUUAACAGGAGCGUUGAUAUGCACUUGGUGAAGAUGUUAUCGAUUUUGAUCUUGACCGAUUAAGAGAGGUUGGUUGGAGGUUGCCAACCGGACAGGUGCAAGAGGGAAGGGUAUAGAUAGGAAAGGUACACAUAGAUGAAUUAAAAAGAGAAAAGGGAGAGCACCCAGAUACCUAACUCUAUGGCACUCAGCUAGUAAACUGAUGUCAUUGCGGACCAAGGACCACAACACAUCAACACUCAUCACAGAGAAGCAAAUCAGUCAUCACACAAAGACAAACAGCACAAGCAUACAACAACAAACAUCUCGUUGCUACACGUUAAUGUUAACUAGAUGGUGGUCUUUCUUGAAAAGGGAAUACCUACUCUCUAAGGCCGUCGAAGGACGAGGAGAGAAACAAGACGUGCAUGAUAGGGGCACGAGCACAACAAAGGAUGGAGUUAAGUGGCCAAGAAAAUGAUACGACCAAGGGCAUAAUGGGUAGAACACCACUCUCGAGUCAAGAUAUAAAAGAGUGGAUUUCAAAAGGCAGACCUAAGAUAAGCAUCAAGGCAAGAUCUAGUGAUUACAAAGGUAAGGGGACUAUCAAACAAAAGCUACGACUGGCAAUGUGGCAGAGGAAAAGGGAACGACCAAGAGUGGGAUGGGUAAGACAACACUCUUGAACUAAAACGAGGGAGGAGGCUUUAAAAUACAGGUACGAGAUAAGCAUCAAGGUAAAGAUCAAGGGAUGACAAGGGUGAGGGUGAUAACGGGCAAAUAAACAAAAAAGGAUGUAUUUUAGACAAAACGUGCAAGGCGUCAAAGGAGGGGAAGCAAUUAAUGGUGAAGUAGAUGAGGCAUUAUCCUUGAGCAGAGAUCGAAAGGAGGAGGUUUUGAAGGGUAGGUUCAAAGUAAGCAUGAAUGUAAGGGUAUAGAUAUUACAAGGGUUAAAGGUGAUAACAGACAAUAAUGUAAGAGAGGAGGUAAAUGGACAUAAGAACAAAAGAUAUAAGUAACAUAAAGGAUGGAGUUAAGACAAUACCUACAAGUGGAAAAGAAGAGGAUACGUCCAAGGGCCAAAUAGGUAAAUUGCCACUCUCAAAUUGAGGUGGAAGAGAGGAGAUUUUUAAUAGUCAGAAUAAAGAUGAGUAUCGACGCAAGAUCGAUGGAUGAAAAGGUGAUGGUGAUAGCAAAUAAAAAACACAGCAAAGGAUGGAAUUAAGACAAAACUUGUAAGGCGACAAGGAGUGAAAAGAAAUCAUGGGAGAGAUAAGUAACUCAUAGCUCUCAAACUAGGUUGAAAGAAAGGGGAGGCUUUUAAAGGAUAAGUUCAAGGUAAGCAUUUAGGUAGAAUACCUCAAUAUCGCAAGGGUCAAAGGCGAUAACAGACAAGGGUAUGAGAGAAAAGAUGAAGGCAUGGGAGAGCCAGUGGUAUGAGUACAACAAAUAAUAGAGUUGCGUCCGAGCUUAUACGCGGUAAAGAAGAGGAUAUAGCCAAGGGUGAGGUAAGGAAAGUACCGCUCUCAAAUUGGGAUAGGAGAUUGGAGAUUUUAGAGAAUGAACAAAGUGUAAUCACCAAGGUAAGAUCUAGAGAUGAGAAAGGUAAAGAUAAUACCCAACCGAAGCACAACAAAGGAUGGAGUUAAAAACCCGCAAGCGACAAGGAAGAGGAUACAACCAAUGGAAAAUGGGUAAAAUACAACUAUAAAAUUGAGAUGGAAGAGAGAACAUUUUAAAGGACAGGUAUAACAUAAGCAUCAAGUAAGAUAUAGAGGUGACAAGGGUAAAGGUGAUAAUGAUGAAAAGCAUAAUCCGUGGACAGAGUUAAGGCAAGAUUCACAAAAUGACUAAGUGGAGAAAACAAUCAAGGAUAAGAUAAGUGAGGUUCCAACAUAAGAGUUGAAGUAAAAAUUCAUUGCCGAAGGAAGUUACAAGGAAACAACGAGAUUAUCACGGUUGUGCAAAAUAAAAUGAUCGCUCAUGGAUCAUUAAGAAAUAGGGGUGGUCAAGGACAUGUUAACUGAAAUGUCUAAGUAGGCAGUAGAAAUUUAGAGGCAAGUAUUUGAAACAAGAGUAUUAAAGGGAUACAAGCAUGUCAAUACCAAAGAACUAGAGUUCGCCAGAUGGUAACAACUUAAUGACGAAAGAGGAAAGAAUCCCAAAAAGACAAGAAGGUUAUGGUCAGGGGGCAUCUACAAAGAUGUUGCAAGCACAAGAGUGAGAUCAGAUCUAAUAGAUUGAGAGAAGUAUAGACCAUACUAGAAUAAAAUACUUUUGGCAAGGGGCAUAUAGGAACACAACAUAGCAUUAGUCGAGGCGACUAAUAUUUUGAAGCGGAAUCAAGGAUGAGGUGAAGUAAUAAUCAAUGAGUCCUUAAAACGGCCAUUGCUACUCUAGGUCAGCGGUCCUACAGUCAGCAAGGCUUUGAUACCACUUAUGUCACACCCGGUUUUGAAGGUAAACCGAAUGCGAACCAUGUACGUGCCAGGAUCAGAAAUUCACGUACAUAGUGAUUACAUAAAUGACUCAUCAUAGCACAAUGCUUCGAAUAACAAUAAAGAGUAAGUAAUAAUAUUACAGACCAGAGCCAUUUACAUAAUAUAAAUCAAAGUACACAUAGUAGAAACGUAGCCAACGUAAACAACCCACCACAGGCAGCUGACUGGGGGAGGUCGCUAGCCUAAUCCUCGAACUCGUCGAAGUCCUGGAACUCCUGGAGAUCUGCCUCGACACCUCCUUCUUUACCUGAGCAUAGAUUGCACCAAAGGCAACCUGGUGUUUUGUGAAAGCAAGGGUGAGUACACAUCAACGUACUCAGCAAAUGUUCCGUUUGGUUGUAGUGGACUAGCUUUAUGUGGGGUUAGGCUCAAGCAGUUGCUUUUAGUUGGUCAGGUAUUUAUUGUUAGUAGAAGCCAGAUUUUAUCAUAAAACCCAAGUUAUAAUCCCAAAAGUACCUCCUGAGAGAGGGAAUACUAGAAUUCAUAAUUAAAGUCACCAUCAUUAACCAUCAUCAUUAAAGUCAUCAUCCAAGGUGUAUCCGGAGUAUCUCUAAUCAAAGAGGAUCCCAAGGCUGCUCUUAACCGUGAGCACGGCUGAUAUAUCAGUUUCACUACCCUCUGCAGAGGUCGCACACUUUACCCAUGAGUCAUGAUUCCCUUUCUGCCCGAGGAGAGCUAAUCCCCGUUGAUCACUCCCUAGGUGGUCUGGCAGGGUAUCACUACGUAGCUGUUACAAAGAUUCCCUAGAGGUCAUAGCCGCCCGUUAGGUUUCUCCAGUUUGAUAAACACAGUACCCCUCCCCGCAGGAGAGUGACUAACCAAAAAGCAAAACAAAAGAACCUCGGCACUCAGCCUCGGCAGAGCAAGCACUGUGCCUGGACCCCAUUGACGGCACGACGGCGAAGCAACUACACCUCUAGUUCCUCUAAUUAAUUAGCUAAGGGCAUCCCAUUUCACCCUCAUGGUUGCACUGUUAUCCCGGGUGGUCUCUCAACGAACAGGUCCUUACGGAGAGGUGCUCGGGAAACGGCCCGAGUCCCCUAAAAUGCCACAAGUAUAUCACCAUCGUAUCCAAAAUAAAAGCAUCGUAUCAUCAAGUAAUUCUCAUCAUGUUCGUUGAUUAGAGUAAAGCGCUAGCAUGUAGUUAACCAUAGUAAUCCGAAAGGUAAAGAAGGAUAAGGUAAAUAGAAAGCUAGUAAAUCCUUAGGUUAUUCAUAGUAUGCGGUACAGUGUAUUAUAAAGUACAUGGGACAUAAUGGGACUGAGGACACUUGCCUUCACCAAACAGAUGCUCAGAAUCUUCAGCCUUGUAGAACUCGAAGAGCUGGGUCAUUUGGUCGCCGAAGCUUGACCGUCGAUUCCUCAAAGCUCAGAAACGAAUCGCGAUCUAAUCGCAACACGAAGCGAAGACGAACAGGCACAAGCAAACAAACAUAUACAUAUGCAUAAGAAUAUUACACCAUACAAGAUAAAAUGUUAUAAAAGCGAGCAAUAUAAAAUAGAGAGCGCUUCUACGGUUACGCGAGAAUAUGAAACACGUCGGUCGGAGCUACGGUCGAUAAGUUAUCGCGUUUAUGCUAAACGAAUAUGAACUAGGACAUUUAAUUCGGCACUAUCAAAUAUAAAUUAUAUCUACUAUUUAGUUUUGACUAACUUACUAUUUUAAUAGUGGAGGAUUAAACGAAUAUUUAAUUAAAUGACAUGAGUGAUUAUAAGCGACCGAUUUAAUAUCGCGCGUGGACAGCACCCGAUAUGCAAAAAAGGCAAUGCGUGCGAAUGACGCGUGAAGACGCGUGACAAUACGCGAAAUAGGGCGCGACCAACACGCGAAACCACGCGUGCGACAACGCGUGCGAACGACGGCGCACGCGGACAGCACGCGAACGGCACGCCAGGAACACUAACCAAUAUCGCCAUUAUAAUAAACAAUUAUUAAUUAAAAAACAUUCGAGUAGACAUAAUCAUAUUAACAUGUAUUUAUAAAGUGCAACUAAAAUUGUAAAUUGGUUCAAGUAGAUUGCUACUUUACUAACUAUCUGAAAAAUAAAUAAUCAAUUAAUUAACUAAAACAUGUAUCACAAUGAAAUAGUGUUACUAAUACGUAAACAACGAGGUUACGAAACAAGUCGAAACAGAUUUGAGACUUAAAAAUAUUUUGAAUAUUUUAUAUCUCACAGAUUUAAUAGAAUGUGGCGUAAUCUAAUUGGUCAAAAUAUGGCCACACGGAGGACCAUAUGAGCAUGGGUGCCGAGGAUCCGUGGGAUUUGGAGCGGACGCUACAACGUGAAACAUCUAUAUUGACCAACCGUAGGGCGCCAUGUGGCCUGGAGACUAGUUUUUUCCACCACCCACGUGAUGCAUGCCGACAUGCAUGGGAGUCAUGCGUGCAUGGGUGGGCGAGCACUCGGCCACCGCUCAAUCGGCCUUUGGCCGCGACCAGCCAUGGCUGGUCGGCCAUGCAUCCAAGGGCUGGGCGUUUCACGGUUCGAUGUCGGCAGCGGAGGUGCGGUUGGCCGGCGAAGGAUAGAAAUGAUAACAGCUAGCGCAGAAACAAAAUAAAGAAAAAUGGCUCACCGGAGAACGGGAAGGGCUCGCCGGAAGAAACAACUUCGUGCGUGGCAGGGACCCCUCGACACAGCGACGAGUGCGGCGAGACCUCCAGCUAGGACAUCGGUCCUUUCUCCACGGUGACAAAUGAUGCGACGACGAGCUCUGCAUGGGACCUCUGCUCGACGGCGGGCGCGGCGCCGGGGCGACUGCGUGAUGCAAGGGGUGGUUGCUGCAAGGUUGAGGGACAGAGAGCAGGUGCCGACUGUUUGAAUGGGACUAUGGGAGCGGCUAUAACGGACCAUUGCUAAAUUCUUGCGUCGUGGCCAUAUAGUGCGGUAGAGGUUGUUCACACACGGAAGAGAUGGUGGUGGGCCUGCGGCGCAGCAGCCGAGUGCGGCGCUGGUGCUUCCCCCACGCGUGCUAGCAGGUAGAUAUGAAUAUACAUAUAUGUUUAUAUGAAUAUAUCUAUUUAUAUUAGAUCAUGUCCCGAUAAUUUAAUUUGAUAGUUUUUCCUUCUUUCGAGUGUGAACACCGCCAAGAUCAUUUUAGCAAAC